ACAACAAAAACAGUACCCAUGAUCUGGUCGUUGUGACCGUUAUAAUGGGCAUGGACAUAUGAACAAUGCUCUUUAUAACGCUCAUAACCGACAGACAUGUCUGACACAUCAACCUCAGA
rnacentral:precursor_RNA from 9 species